rnacentral:lncRNA from 1 species
UGUUGUACUACUUUUGGGACAAAUUAUAUCAAAAUUAUAGAAAACUUCAUCGUCUCAAACUCAAAAUAUGGACAAUUUUAUCUUUAGGGCGUCUUGAAAUCUUUUGACAGCUUCCGAAGUGCUAUUUUUCAACCUUUUUUACCUGGACCAAAUCACUACUUUCCUUUAAAAUUCUGGACACAAACUUUUUUACAGUGUAAUUUCACCCCCCCCCCCUACUUGCAAUUUGAGGCAUAAAACAUGGAGAAAUAAAUUUGGAAGGGGUAUAAAAAUUAAUGGCAAGUAACCCACUGUCAACACUAGGGACUAUAUUUGU